rnacentral:rRNA from 1 species
CCUACGGGUGGCUGCAGUGGGGAAUAUUGGACAAUGGGGGGAACCCUGAUCCAGCCAUGCCGCGUGUGUGAAGAAGGCCCUCGGGUUGUAAAGCACUUUCAGUGAGGAAGAACGCCUGGUGGUUAAUACCCAUCAGGAAAGACAUCACUCACAGAAGAAGCACCGGCUAACUCCGUGCCAGCAGCCGCGGUAAUACGGAGGGUGCGAGCGUUAAUCGGAAUUACUGGGCGUAAAGCGCGCGUAGGUGGCUUGAUAAGCCGGUUGUGAAAGCCCCGGGCUCAACCUGGGAACGGCAUCCGGAACUGUCAAGCUAGAGUGCAGGAGAGGAAGGUAGAAUUCCCGGUGUAGCGGUGAAAUGCGUAGAGAGCGGGAGGAAUACCAGUGGCGAAGGCGGCCUUCUGGACUGACACUGCCACUGAGGUGCGAAAGCGUGGGUAGCAAACAGGAUUAGAUACCCGUGUAGUC